CCCUUUUCAAAGCUCACAAAAAGUUGUUGCAAUACAUUUCUUCAAAUUGAAUUUCGAGAAAAACGAUUAUUCUUUCGAAAAGAUAUCAAGAUAUCCCAAUUCCUUUCUUCAAAGCUUACGUCGAAACAGAUAUUGAUUUCUUCGACGAUAAAACCGUAUUUAGAAAGAUCGAAAAUCGUCAUAAUUUUACACAUUAUGUAUCAUUCUUUUUGCAAAUUAAACCGUGUGACGACAUAACGUUAAUUACAACGAUCGAAAAUCCUUAAAAGAUAAAUCCAAUUUAUCCUCGUCGAUUCGUUACAAUUACACGUAUCAAAAAAAAGAAAAAGCCGUCAAAUAUUUCGAAACGCUAGAGAGAACGUUUUAUCUAAGACGGGCCUUAUACCUGUCGCGUAAUCGCAUAAUAAUUACUCGCGCGUCGACGCAUUUCGAUUUCAAUUCCCAUCGACCCACAUUACGUAUACAUAACAUGGAGCGGCGGCAGCCACUUCCGGCGGCACCAGGCGGAGAGGGAAGCGGGAUCCGUCGAUAUUUCGAAUUUUUCCACGGUUCAACCGUCGAGCGAUCCUCGAAAAACGAAAGGCAGUUCGACUAUGUAUUCCGGUCCAGCUAUUCUCGAUGGAUCCUUUCUCUCCCUUCCACCCACGCGAACACGUAUACACGGCCGUCGAUCUCGGAACAAUGCUACGCGAACGAAUUACUAUUUCGGAGAUGUUACUAUCUAUUUUCCCUGCGUUACCGUGUCCCCCUUUAUAGAGUGAGAGAGAGAGAGAGAGAGAGAGGAAGGAAACAAACGUUGAAAACGUGGAAAAUAGGGGGGGAGGAAGGAAGACGAGUAAAAAAAAUAUGGGACAGCUUGAUCGUGCGAUUCGAGUGGUGGUGACUCGUAGCGAUAAUAAAAAAGAGAGAGAAAAAGAUAAAUGCGUAUUUCGCUGAUGAAUCGUGCGCCACGAGGAAGUUUUCUCUGUUUUUUUCCCUCCGAAAAGGAAAGUCUCUUUUUUUUCUCGAAA